ensembl:lncRNA
AGUUUUGGAGUUCUGCCUUUAGAGUCCCAUAUGUGGCUGUGCAGAGACUGUGUGGAUCUUCUCACACAUCCAUAUCAAAGCUUUUAAAACACUUCAGAAUUACAACAAUCCCUUUGGUGUCCAAUGGGCCAGCUUGAUAAUUUCUCAACCCAGCUCCUCAAAAUUGUCAAAAAAAGGAGGAGCAGCGUCACAGAAGAUCACAAACAUCCUGUCAGUUAUGGAUCAGCAUGCCACUAUUGGGAAAAAAGGGAAUGCAUCCUGAAAUCCCUGGCAGAUCUUCUUAAUGAAGAGCCCUCAAACCUCGUGAAGGAGUAUAUGGAUGUUGAACAUGAAGAUGCCCUAACCUAAAUGUGCAACACCACCCUUGGGAUCAUUACUGAAGGCAUCCGUAUACUUCAAAAUCUAAAUAAUGUGCCAAAUGCGUGCUCUGUGCUGCUUGGUGUAAUUUACGCAUUGAACUUGUUUUCUCCAUAGUGUUGCACUGUUGGCUACUGCAGUACAUUUGUUUCAUUAUUGCCCAUGUCAUAUUCCUUUUAAAUUGGUCUUGCUUUAAAUAACAGAUGCAUUUUUUUCAGUUUCAAGGAGGCACAUAUUACAAAUGAAGACUGACAUUUUUUUCCCUAAGUGUAAUACUUGCAUGUGAGUAUUUUGUAAAUCCUUUUGAAGGCAGCAUACUUUUUAUUUUUACUUCUUUUCUUGUAUUAAGUGAAGAACUUUGAUUUUAAAAAAGAAGCAUUUGUACAAAUUCUUGUUGGAGAAAUUUGUAAAAUUUGUAAUGUUUUGAAUGGACAUUGAAUAAACUCAAUGAAACUUGAUUGUUUUUAUUGAAG